UACGUAGGGGGCAAGCGUUGUCCGGAUUUAUUGGGCGUAAAGAGCGUGUAGGCGGUUAGGUAGGUCCGUUGUGAAAACUCGAGGCUCAACCUCGAGACGCCGAUGGAAACCAUCUGACUAGAGUCCGGAAGAGGAGAAUGGAAUUCCUGGUGUAGCGGUGAAAUGCGCAGAUAUCAGGAAGAACACCCGUGGCGAAGGCGGUUCUCUGGGACGGUACUGACGCUGAGACGCGAAAGCGUGGGGAGCGAACAGG
rnacentral:rRNA from 1 species